GAUGAACGCUGGCGGCGUGCCUAAUACAUGCAAGUCGAGCGAACGGACGAGAAGCUUGCUUCUCUGAUGUUAGCGGCGGACGGGUGAGUAACACGUGGAUAACCUACCUAUAAGACUGGGAUAACUUCGGGAAACCGGAGCUAAUACCGGAUAAUAUUUUGAACCGCAUGGGUCAAAAGUGAAAGACGGUCUUGCUGUCACUUAUAGAUGGAUCCGCGCUGCAUUAGCUAGUUGGGAAGGGAACGGCUUACCAAGGCAACGAUGCAUAGCCGACCUGAGAGGGUGAUCGGCCACACUGGAACUGAGACACGGUCCAGACUCCUACGGGAGGCAGCAGUAGGGAAUCUUCCGCAAUGGGCGAAAGCCUGACGGAGCAACGCCGCGUGAGUGAUGAAGGUCUUCGGAUCGUAAAACUCUGUUAUUAGGGAAGAACAUAUGUGUAAGUAACUGUGCACAUCUUGACGGUACCUAAUCAGAAAGCCACGGCUAACUACGUG
rnacentral:rRNA from 1 species